rnacentral:rRNA from 1 species
GACGAACGCUGGCGGCGUGCCUAAUACAUGCAAGUCGAGCGAACGGACGAGAAGCUUGCUUCUCUGAUGUUAGCGGCGGACGGGUGAGUAACACGUGGAUAACCUACCUAUAAGACUGGGAUAACUUCGGGAAACCGGAGCUAAUACCGGAUGAUAUUUUGAACCGCAUGGUUCAAAAGUGAAAGACGGUCUUGCUGUCACUUAUAGAUGGAUCCGCGCUGCAUUAGCUAGUUGGUAAGGUAACGGCUUACCAAGGCAACGAUGCAUAGCCGACCUGAGAGGGUGAUCGGCCACACUGGAACUGAGACACGGUCCAGACUCAUACGGGAGGCAGCAGUAGGGAAUCUUCCGCAAUGGGCGAAAGCCUGACGGAGCAACGCCGCGUGAGUGAUGAAGGUCUUCGGAUCGUAAAACUCUGUUAUUAGGGAAGAACAUAUGUGUAAGUAACUGUGCACAUCUUGACGGUACCUAAUCAGAAAGCCACGGCUAACUACGUG